CCCAAUCCCGAACAGGAAAACGAAUUCCGACGAUAAAAAUUCAUGGAAUCACUCCCAUUUGAAUCUCCAUGCAUAAAUAAAGAGAUUCAUGUCGGUUUUAGGCAAUUAAAAUACGUAAAAAUUGGACUUUAAUUUUAAUAAAAAUUUCUAGUCCGUAUGAGUUCUUAAAAAAUUAAUUUUCAAAUUUCAAUGAUUUUUCACAUGUUUAGAUCGAUCUAUAAUACUAUAUGAAUAUAGUGAUGUAUAUAGAAUUCGAAAUAAACACCGUAAAAAGAAAAAUGAAAUAAAACAACCAACGGACCAAAAACUCCAAUUUUUUUUUUUAAAUGAAUCUAAAUGCAAAAAUUAAGACAUUCAUAUAGAUUUCAUGCAUCGAAAACACGUAAAACAAAGACUUUAAAAUCACCAAAAAUUUCGGGUCCGAAUUUUUUUUUUUUUUUGAGCUUUCUUUGUUUUUUCAAAAUGAGUUUUCAUGCUUUAGAACAAUCUAUAUUAAUAUAUGAAUGUAUUGAUUCAGAAUGUAUGAUGUAUAUAUAAACAUAUAUACUUAUAUAUAUAUACAGAAAAUAAAAUAAUGUACCGUAUGUAUAUAUAUAUAAUCAUGAAAUGUAUAUAUGUAUAUAUUUAUAUAUAGCAUUUAGGUAUAUAAACAAUAUGAUAUAAUGAAGAUAUGAACAUAUAUAUAUACAAUAUAUAUACCUAAUGAAAUGAAGAAAAUAUCUAUAUAUAUAUGUAUAAACAAUAUGAAUAUAUAUAUAAACUGAAUGUAUAUAUGUAUAUACGUAUGAAAAUGUAUAUAUAUAAUAUGAAUGUAUAUACGAACCCGAAAACGAAUAUAUAAUAUAUAUAUAUAUGAACACCGUAUAUACGUAUAUAUAUAUUAAACUCAAACUAAAUCAAGGCAGAGAUAUAUAAUCCGCUCUGAUACCAACUGUUAGACAUUUAUAUGUAUAAACUGAAAUAUAUAUGUUUAUGUAUAAAAUGCGGAAUUAAAUCAAACAUAUAUACACUAUGAAUAAGGAUCGAAAUACCUCCAGCCAUUGAUUCUUGAGCUUUAGUCCCACAUAAGCUUUGAUCUGCAAAGAAAACUGGUUGAUGUGGGUAAUCGGGCUUCCUCGCUCUCUCAACUCUCUUUAGAUGGAUUUUGCUGUUAUGAACAGAAUGAGUGAGGAGCUCGGGGACCGAGACCCUAUAUUUAUAGGUGAGAUACUCCAUCAGUAUCUGUGCCACAUUAAUUGUCAGAAUAUUUUGACAAUUAAUUCAGGAAAUCAAAUCAGGUAAUGAAUAUAGAAAUCUGACCAUAUAAAGAAUAUUACGUAAUUGAUUCUGUCCAGAUUCAAUGAAUAUAAAAUAUUCAUUUAUCAGAAUCAAUAAUAUUAUUUUAUUUCCUUAAUUAGAAAUAUUCUAAUAUACACUUGGUAUCUUUUUUUGCCAUUUUUUUACAUUUUUAUCUUUAUUCGGUUAUUUAAACAUUUUUCAAAAAAUUAUUUUUCAAUAUUAUAUUUUAAAAAGUUUGAUAAUUACACAAAUACCUAUGCAUGCUUAUGUCAUAGGUUUUCUCCAAUAUUACACUCCAUCUCUUCCACCUUCUUCUCUUUCAUCUCCAAUAUUACACACCAUCUCUUCCACCUUCUUCUCUUUCAUUCAUUUUUUUUAAUUUUUCUUUUAUUUUCUGUUAGUUUUUUUUUUCCAUAACCCACUAUCAUCCCCUGUGAAGCCCUAACCCACGGAUUUCAACCUCCCAUCUAUGCUACGAUCCUAAAAUGGGUUUGAAAGACAUUGCAAAGAAGGGAAUGGGUGAUGCUGCAGAGCCAUCUGGUUCUAAAAAAAGAUUUUUCCAGCUAAGAUUGAAUCUUGUAAGGCAAAGAGAACCAAAUCUUCGAGAUUUGUCAAGGAUGUUCUCUCCGAUUUUGACUUCGAGGAUGAAGUUUCUGAUUUGGAAGUGAAGCCUAAAGUUAAACCCAAGAGUUGUUUACCUUGAAUUUUUUUAUUUUUUUAAGUUGAAAUUUUUAAUCAACCGUUAUUUUUUAUUUUGUUUUUGUUCUCAUUUUAGUUUUUUUAGUUUUUUUUUUUUUUGGUUUUGUUACUGUUAUUAAAUAGUUUUUAGCAUCAUUUAACCAAACUACACUAUUUUUCUUUUUGUCAGUUUGAGUUUUCUUAUUAGUUGUUUUUAAGUUUUAAAUGUAUUUUUUUAGGGAUUAUUGUUGUUUUUGUUCUCAUUUUUUGUACGAAGGUUUUAAGUUUUCAUAACAUUUUUUCCUUAUUUUUAAUUCGUUAUUUGAUUGUUAUUUUAGUGUUCUAUUGGCCUUUUCUAAACAGUUGUUUUAAUGUUUAGUUUUAGUAGUUUUAGUGUUGUUUAAUUUUAUUUCACAGUGAACAAUUUUUUUAGUAAUUUCAUGUUUUGCAGAUUGUUGUUAAUAUAUUUUUUCCCAAUUGUUCAUCUUUUAGGCUAUUUAUGUCUGGGUGUUUUUAAAAUGUUAUUUUGUGGUUGCUUUCUGGUUUUUUUUUUCUGAAAGCUUAGAUGAUGUUUGUUUUUUCAUAUUUUAUUACCUUCAAUUCUUUCUCUGAUUCAAUCAUGGGUGAGUUUCAAUGAUUUCCAGAUCUCCUUCUAUUUGAUUCUUCAUCUCUGAACGCGAUUUGCUUUUUUGACUGAAUGUUGUUUUUGAGUUUUUUUUGUACAACAAUGGAGGUUGGAUGAUUUUUUUUCUUUCUGUUUUUGUAUUUGGAUUUUCAGGAUUUAAGUUGUUUUCCCUUGAGAUCUACAUUUUUUUUAGAUCUGAUUUUCCUGGUUUUGGAAGGAAAAUGGUUGAGAAUGGGUUGUUGGGAUUCGUCCGCUGGGUCACGAAGAAGAUGGAGGCUUCCAUUUUCCUUGGCUGGUAUUUUUGUAAUUUAACAACUUUUAGUUUCUAUUUUUGUUUAUUUCCCUUUUUGGGGUCAUAAAUGUAAACUUGUUCCAUUUUUAGUUU